AAAAUUUUUUAUACAGAGAAUAUGUCACACUCACAAUCUAAGCCCUGAUUUCUUCUGUCUUCUGUAGACAUGCACAGGCUGAUAAGAUGCUAUUUGACUUCAAGAACAAGUGAUGACAAAUCCAUGCAGCUGAUGGUAUUGCCCACAAAACAGUCAUCAUUUUUGAUACACCAAAUCCUGAUUCAUAUCCUACUUAAAGGGGAACUAUCAAUCCCCAGGAGAUUUAAUACGUUUACAAAUCCCUACAAUUAACAAAUAUAUAUUUGUGAGGUAGGAAAAAUCCUGAAAUGGGGGCACCUCCAUCUUAGCUUUCUGUCAAUCAUUGUUCUAAACUCUGUCAUUUGCACCUGUCAAUCAGCAUAGAAAAAAAACAUACAUCGAAGAGGA